GUCUACAGCCAUAUCACACUGAUUCUGGAAGCUAAGCACAGUCAGGCCUGGCCAGUACUUGAAUGGGAGACUGCCUAAGAAUUCUGGGUGCUGUAGGCU
ensembl:rRNA 5S_rRNA 5S ribosomal RNA